UAUUUAAGGUGUAAUUUGGUAAAUAUCUUCCUCUUCUUCACUUUCUUUGCUCUCCAUUUCCUCUAAUAUCAUCAUUUUAUCUGAGUAGGGUGGUGGAUCCAUGGUCAUUUGUUUCAGUAAUGUGGUGUCAAUUAACCGCUGGACAAGUCCCCUUACACAGGGGAUAAUGCAACAGCCAAUAGCUGUCAAAACUCCUGCUACUACAAUCAAGGAUGUAAAUAUGGACAUUACCAUCCCUUUCCAUUUACCAAACCAAGAUUCCAACCAUCCUGUGAUGGAAGUGUCUGCUCCCGAAUUUUCUGCUAAUUCAUUGGCAAGGGUGGUAAGCCCUUGCAAUGCUCUUGUUACUGUGCCAUCCGGGGCUGUAUUGUUAAGGAUGAAAGUACAGCAGCAAGCAAACA